AUGAUGCAACAAAUCUGGUCCGUUGAUCAAGCACAAGCUCUAGCCUUAAAGGCCGAGAGGUUUGUGAGGAUGAGAAAGACAACUAAGGCUCCAUAUCCUCCAUAUCCUCAUACCGAAGGCUCAUCUAGGAGCCAACCUAAUAGAGUGGAAGAAAAGACCACUCCACCAAAGACAAAACAGCCCAUCCCGAAGCAAACUAGAGGCAAGGGUAAGGCAAAUGAAGGCCCAAAGUGCUAUAAAUGUGGUAAAGAGGGACACAUAUCCAGCGGCUGCCCACUAAGGAAAUUUGUUAACACGACUAUCCAUGAUGGUGAAAGCGAUGAGGAAGAAUACGAAUCUGAAGAUGUAGACGGACAAGAGGUUUGUCAAGAAGAAGGUGAAGAGGUGGUACGUGUGAUCCAGCAUGUCCUAUGUUCCACACCACAACUCGAUGACACACAACGGAAGAAAAUAUUUGAGAGCAAAUGCACGGUGAAUGGCAAGGUAUGCAAACUAGUGAUUGAUAGUUGCAGCUGCGAGAAUCUUAUCUCCCAAAAGUUGGUGGACCAUUUAAAGCUUGAAACCUAUGAUCAUCCAAAUCCCUACACUAUUGGAUGGAUCAAGAAAGGAGUGAAUAUGAGGAUCACCAAACAAUGCAACCUGCCACUUUCUUUGGGUAAGCAUUAUCGCUCAAAUGUGUUGUGUGAUGUGGCUGACAUGGAUGCCAGCCAUGUUCUUCUUGGGAGGCCUUGGCAAUUUGAUGUGGAUACUACACACAAGGGCAAGGAAAAUUCUUACUCUUUCAUUUGGAACAAGAGAAGGAUCAUUAUCUUACCAAACAAACCCGAAGGUAAUACCUCUAAGGAGGAGGGGAAAACUAUGUUAACUAUCUCCCAUACCUCUCAUGAGUUUAUGGAAGACUUGAAGGAGGCAGAUUUGUGUGCUGCACUUGUUGUAAAGGGAGAAGAGCACCUGACUGUUGAAAUUCCAGCAAAGGUACGUGGUUUAUUGGCAGAAUUUCAGAACAUACUUGGGGAGCCACAUGGCUUGCCACCGAUGAGAGGAAUUCAACAUAGAAUUGACUUAAUUCCGGGAGCAAGUCUUCCUAAUCUUCCACACUAUCGAAUGAGCCCAAAGGAGCAUGGUAUAUUGAAGGAGAAAGUGGAGGAAUUGUUGCAAAAGGGGCACAUUCGAGAAAGUAUUAGCCCAUGUGCUGUACCAGCCCUACUCGCGCCAAAGAAAGAUGGAUCUUGGCGCAUGUGUACGGACAGUAGAGCCGUUAACAAGAUCACCGUAAGGUACAGAUUCCCUAUUCCCCGUCUGAAUGAUAUGUUGGAUCAGCUUAGUGGAGCAAGAGUGUUCACAAAGCUAGAUUUAAGAAGUGGAUAUCAUCAAAUCCGUAUAAGACCCGGGGAUGAAUGGAAGACCGCCUUCAAGACAAAGGAAGGGUUGUUUGAAUGGCUAGUCAUGCCAUUUGAACUCUCAAAUGCACCAAGUACCUUUAUGCACUUAAUGAAUCAAGUCCUUAGACCCUUCUUAUCCCACUUUGUUGUGGUCUAUUUCGAUGACAUCUUGAUAUAUAGCAAGGAUGAGGAUGAACACUUUGAUCACGUUCGGAAGGUGCUAGAAGUACCAAGGAAAAAUGAGCUCUACGUCAACUUGAAGAAAUGUGUUUUCCUGCAAACACAAUUUCUUUUCCUAGGAUUCGUCAUAACAUGUGACGGCAUUCGUGUUGAUGAUUCUAAGGUUGAAGCAAUCCGAGAAUGGCCAACUCCUAAGACCAUUUCUGAGGUAAGAAGCUUUCAUGGCCUUGCAACUUUCUAUAGGCGAUUUGUUAAGAAUUUCAGCACUAUCAUGGCACCAAUUACCGAGUGUUUGAAGAAAGGAAAGUUCCAAUGGGCAGAAGCAGCUGAAGCUAGCUUCAAUGAGAUUAAACAAAAGCUAUCACAAGCUCCUGUCUUGGUACUACCUGAUUUCAACAAGACUUUUGAGUUGGAGUGUGAUGCAAGUGGAGUAGGCAUUGGAGCUGUCCUAUCUCAAGAAAGGAAGCCCAUUGCUUUCUUUAGUGAGAAGUUAAGUGAAGCUAGACAGAAAUGGAGUACCCAUCAGCAAGAAUUAUACGCCGUUUUCAGAGCGUUGAAAACUUGGGAAGUCUAUUUGCUGCCUAAAGAGUUCAUUGUUUAUAGCGACCAUCAAUCCUUGAAGCAUUUUAGAAAUCAAAAGCAUGUUGACCGCAUGCUAGCAAGAUGGGCAGCAUAUCUUGAGAGGUUUAACUAUCUCAUCGUGCAUAAAUCUGGAAUAACUAACAGAGUGGCCGAUGCUUUGAGUCGUCGUGGAUGCCUCUUGACUUCUUUUGAAGCUGAACUUCCGGGCAUGGGUCAAAUAAAGGAGUUGUAUGAGGGUGACGAAGACUUUGGCCAUGUUUGGGUAAAGCAUGCAAGGGGCCAACCAUUAGGUGAUGACUAUUUGAUGCAAGAUGGAUAUCUCUUCAAAAAUGAUCGUUUGUGCAUUCCAAGAAGUUCUCUACAUGACAAGCUGGUUAGAGAGCUCCAUUCAAGUGAUCUUAGUGGCCAUAUUGGACGGGACAAGACUAUCGCUAACCUAGAAGCUCACUACUUUUGGCCACAACUAAAGAGAGAUGCUGGAAAGUUCGUUCAACAGUGCCCCGUAUGUCAGACCUGCAAAGGCCAAGUCCAGAACACAGGGUUAUACAUGCCUUUGCCUGUUCCUGUUGCUCCAUGGGAGGACAUAUCUAUGGACUUCGUCUUGGGCUUGCCAAGAACAAGACGAGGAAGUGAUGUUGUAUUUGUGGUCGUGGAUAGAUUCUCUAAGAUGGCUCAUUUCAUCCCAUGCCGCAAGACAACGGAUGCUCAUCAUGUGGCAAACCUAUUCUUUCGAGAAGUGGUCAGACUUCAUGGAGUUCCAAGGUCCAUUGUCUCAGACCGUGAUAGCAAGUUUCUUGCUGCAUUUUGGCUCACUUUGUGGAAGCAAUUCAACACUGAAUUGAAAUUUUCUAGCACUGCUCAUCCACAAACAGAUGGACAAACGGAAGUGGUGAACAAGUUUUUGGGUAAUCUGAUCCGUUGCAUUUGUGGAGAAAGAAAGGGGCAAUGGGAUUUGGCUUUAUCUCUUGCAGAGUUCUCCUACAAUAACUCCAAGCAUAGAUCCACAGGAAGGAGCCCUUUUUCCAUUGUCUACACUGAAGUUCCAACACAUGUGGUGGACCUGGUGAAGCUGCCAUCAAGGGGAAACUCAAAAUUAGCAUUGUCCUUUGCUGAUAAUUACACCGAGUUAUUUGAAGAGAUUCGCGGCGCUUUGGAAGCACAAAAUCAGAAAUAUAAACAACUUGCUGAUUGCAAAAAGAGGCCAAAAUCAUUCCAAGUCGGUGAUAAGGUGAUGGUCUACCUCCGAAAAGAGAGGCUGCCUUUAGGUGUUAAAGGAAAACUUAGGCAGCGAAGGUAUGGGCCCUUCUCUAUCAUGAGGAAGAUAAAUGAUAAUGCUUAUGUGAUAGAUCUUCCAAGUGACAUGGGUAUCUCCAACACUUUCAAUGUUGCGGACUUGACUCUCUACCAUCCAGAAGAAGCGCUCUAUGAAGAUAACUCGAGGGCGAGUUCCAAACAACCAGGGGAGAAUGAUGAGGAACACUAG
rnacentral:rRNA from 1 species